CCCGCUCGCUGGAAGAUGAUGCCCGUUCCCUGGAAGCACAGGUCGCUGUCCGCCCUGGGCACUGCUCUGUCCCCAGCUUUUAGAAGGGCCUGGCACACAAAAGGCAGCCAAUAAAUGUCUUUGGCCCCUCUCUCCCGCUACCCACCCCUCUGAAACCCAUUCUCCCCAAGGCUUCCCAACGUCAACAAUCGCUCAAGCCUACAUCAGUCAUCCUUGAUUCCUCUCCGCGCCCCCACCUGCCCCACACCUAUUCCGCCCUCCCUUCAGAAUCUACCCCCGAAGGCUGCUCCUCAUUGCUACCACCAUCCUCCCGCACCUCGGCUAUUGUACUAUCCUCCUGAGCGAUCUGUUUCCACCGAGCAGCCACAGCAAUCUCUGCAGAAGUAAUGGCCUGAGUGUUUGCAGCUUAAAUCAAAUUAAGCUCCUGCUCAGCCUUUGCUCCAGUGGGUUCCCACUACUGCACCUGAAUUGAAACCGGAGCUCUUUGUGGCGGCCUGCAAGCCCAGCCUGGUCUGGCCCGGUGCCCUGUUCCCCAUACUUCCUCCUGCCAGGAGUGUCCCCACAAGGCCCCUGCGCUGCUCCUCCUAAUUUAAGUCCCAUGGGUGGGAAGACUGACGAUUCACUGCCGUGUCGCCAGGACCCAGAAAAACUCCGAGCCAUAGGAACUUUCAACAGACACCUGUCGAAAUAGUGGACACCUGAAUCUCUUUCAAGCUUAUGACCAGAAAACAGAUUUCUCCAGCUAAAGGGAUUAGUAACAUCAUUUAUUUGAAGCCAAUUUCCCUUGAUUUGGUUCCAGAGUCUAACACAGCUGAGCACUGCACAGAGGGGACAGUGCUUGGAGCAGUGUCUGAAAUAACAGCAAGUAAUCAAAUAAACGUGUAUUGAAUCAAUGAAUACAUGAAUGAAUCAUAGGGACUAACUCAUGAGGAUGGGAACCUGAUGCCCUGAUGGAGUACAGAUCUCCUCCUAACACUGACUGGCUGCAGAAUGAAUGGUUGAGCCCAGUGGGUUAAGACCAAGGUUCUCAGUAGGGGCACUGUCAUGUCCCAGAGAGUGUUUUGCAAAAAGUGUCAUGUUUUUUGGGUCAUCACGAUAAUCUGGUGCUAUGACUGGCAUUUGUAAUUCACAGAAUGGUUCUGCAAAGUGAAGAUUUAUUCUGUCCCAUAUAACUGUUGAAUGUCUUGCCAAGACUUUUAGGUAAUAAAAUUGUUCACUACUGUGUACUCCCAGAACUUAAAUCCAUUCUCUCUCUAACACAAAAACAUUAUGCAUAGUUUUAUUAUGCACCGAAUUUCCAAAAAUGCAAUUACUGUGUAAGUGAAAGGAAGACUGUACUUUGUUUUGUUUAGAAAUAUUUUUUGAGGUUUUCCUCUAUUUUGGAAAUUCAUAUUGCAGAUGGUGAGGUUAUUGGCAUUUAAGUUGCAAAUACAGCCUAUCCAUAUUAGUUUAAAUUUAGACUUUUGUGUUUGCCAUGAUCCCACAUAAAAGAAUCUUUGCCAAUUUAUCAUGUGGCAUAAUGUAGUUGUAGCAGAGCAUUUACAUAUUUAGGUCUGCACUAUUUUAUAUACUCUCCCUGUAUUCCUCCUUUUCGUUGCAUUUAGUACAUUUUAUUAUGUUUUUGAAGCUCUGUAUAUUGGUAAGCUAUAGCAUAGAUGACCUUCACUUCAGGUAGUCAAGGAAGCACCAUGAAAUACUGGCUAUUCAAAUGGGCACAGAUUAGGGAGAGAUGCUGGGAAAUGGUAGGAAGGAGCCACUUCCUUUCUACUAGUUGCAUAUUUCCAGCAGAGGAACAUCAGUUAGGGUCACAGCCCUGAGCCCUUUCUGCCAUUUCUCUCACCUGCUCAUUAUAAGAGAAGUGACUUAACUGCUGGCAGAUCGGUGGGUCAGGAAGCUGGGCACACACAACACAGCUGCAAGUCCAUCCUUCCCUCUUUCUCUCUGGCAGCCCCCCAGCAGGAAGUGUGCUUCUGUGACGUUCCUCCAAAAUCCAGCUCAACCAUUCCAUGGAAAACGCCUUUCCUGAAUCCCCAAAUGACUCAAUUAUACCUUCUUCUCUACUUUUGUUCAUUAUUCAUAUUUAUUGUUUCUGUCAUGCAGUAAAAUAGUUUCUAUGCUUAUGUGUCAGCCUCCUCCACUUUGCCGACAGCUUUUUGGGGAACCCUAUCUUAAAUCUUCUGUAUCUAUGGUUGGGGCACCUGGCAUAUAACCAUGUCAUGAGACUCUUUAUGGAAUGGAUGUGACGUUAAUUUCAGCAGAAACGCUUGGUGAAACCCAAUUGUGAUGUACUGCAGUUAUCGUAAUAACUUUUCAAAGUCAACCCUUUCAAAAACAGUAAGAGAUAUAAUUAUGACUAGAUGAUGGAAUUGCUAUGUUUUCACCUGUAUACCUACCUACAGAAUUGAAUUAAAUU